rnacentral:rRNA from 1 species
UACGUAGGGGGCAAGCGUUGUCCGGAAUCAUUGGGCGUAAAGCGCGUGUAGGCGGUCCGGUAAGUCGGCUGUGAAAGUCCAGGGCUCAACCCUGGGAUGCGGAUGGAUACUGUCGAGCUCGAGUCCGGAAGAGGCGAGUGGAAUUCCUGGUGUAGCGGUGAAAUGCGCAGAUAUCAGGAGGAACACCGGUGGCGAAGGCGGCGACCUGGGUCGAUACUGACGCUGAGGCGCGAAAGCGUGGGGAGCAAACAGG